rnacentral:rRNA from 1 species
AUGAACGCGCGUCAGACUGCGCAGGUGAAUCAGGUCGUCGGCGCCGUCGGGAUGCCGCCGCCGCAAAGCCAGACGCAGGACGCGUGGGUCGAUUCCCAGUUCGUGAUGAUGCGCGGCAACGCCCGAGAAAAGAUAUUCGAGUAUAUAGGAAGGAAGCCAAGCUCGGCUGAUUGGCGGAGGAGGUUACCGCACCUCGCGAGGAGGCUUGAGGAAAUCUUGUUCAGAAAAUACCCAAGCAAGAGGGAGUACUACAAUAUGAUGAAGGGACAAAUUGAGCCGCACUUGCAGUUUGCUAUCAAGGAGUUGAGUGCUCAGAACCAACAACGACAACGGAACCAACAAUUGUCAAGACAGAUAGCAUCUUCCCCUGGCUAUGGGACGAUGAUUCUGACACCUGGUAUCACGCAAGGCGCAAGUGAAACUUCUAGAAUGUCUUAUGUGACAGGCAAUAUUGGCCCUUCGUCGUCUGGUGCAGACAUGGUUCCUCUGAACGCCAACAUGGGUACCUUGCUGCCAGGGCAAGCUCCUAAUCAGCAUGUAAACACACUGCUUUCUCUGGGGAUGAACUCUACACACCAUGAUCGCCCAAGAGCAUGCAACAACAACCUUGUGAUAGACACAGUGGACACACCUGCAACCAACAGACUCUUGGAAUCCCAUGCACCUCUGAAGGAGGUCCGAAAGGAACCAAAGUUUAGCUGCCCAGUCUGCAUGAAUGAGCUGGUUGAUGCGUCAUCCACCAUCUGUGGCCAUAUCUUCUGCCAGAAGUGCAUCCAGGCCUCCAUCCAGGCUCAGAGCAAGUGUCCAACCUGCCGUAGGACGCUAACCAUGAACAGUUUCCACCGCGUCUACCUCCCGACGAUGGACUGA